GGAGAGGUCGCAUAGAGGCCUAGUGCGGCGGUUUGCUAAACCGUUGAAGGGGGUAAACCUCUUCCGAGGGUUCGAAUCCCUCCCUCUCCGCCA
rnacentral:tRNA from 1 species